rnacentral:rRNA from 1 species
AUGUGCAUACCAAAGAAAUAUGGAGGUAUGGGAUUUAGGGACAUCCACUAUUUCAACCUUGCACUUCUAAAAAAACAAGCCUGGCGUCUUAUUGAUAGCCCAGAUUCAUUGUGUGCAACUAUUCCGAAAGCUAAGUACUAUCCAGAAAGAGACCUACUGGAGGAAAGUGUAAAGCCAAAAUCAUCUUUCACAUGGCAGAGCAUUAUGGACAUGGUAGACACAUUGAGACGUGGGUAUAUUUGGAGGAUUGGAGAUGUUCAAAAGGUGAACAUAUGGGAGGAUUCAUGGAUUCCUCAAUCGCCAACAAAAAAAGUGCUAACUAUCAGGGAGUUGCUCUUAAUAUCCCGAGUUUGCGACCUUAUUGAUCCGGUGACUAGAGAUUGGGAUAUACAGUUGGUGAUCCAAGCGUUCUGGAAUGUGGACGUUCACAGGAUCCUAGCUAUACCCUUACCUUUAUAUGAAAUGUCAGAUUUUAUUGAAUGGAGCCCUACCAAGGACGGUAUCUUCUCAGUGCAAUCAGCUUAUCAAAUUGAAUGGAAUUUUCAGUUUGGUGCUCUGAAUCAUAAUAAUGUGGGUCCAUCAUCACCUUAUAAGAAGUGGAAUUUAAUUUGGAGCUUAGAAUGCCGAGCAAAAAUUAAAAUCUUUACAUGGCGGUUCCUACAUGCUGCUCUUCCAUGUCGAGCAAUCCUAGCUUCUAAGCACAUGAAGGUUAAAAUUUAG